CCUACGGGGGGCAGCAGUCGAGAAUCAUUCACAAUGGGGGAAACCCUGAUGGUGCGACGCCGCGUGGGGGAAUGAAGGUCUUCGGAUUGUAAACCUCUGUCAUGUGGGAGCAAAUUAAAAAGAUAGUACCACAAGAGGAAGAGACGGCUAACUCUGUGCCAGCAGCCGCGGUAAUACAGAGGUCGCAAGCGUUGUUCGGAAUCACUGGGCGUAAAGGGUGGGUAGGCUGUUUCGUAAGUCGUGUGUGAAAGGCGCGGGCUCAAACCGCGGACGGCACAUGAUACUGCGAGACUAGAGAAAGGGAGGGGGAAGCGGAAUGCGCGGUGUAGCAGUGAAAUGCGUAGAUAUCGAGAGGAAC
rnacentral:rRNA from 1 species